AAUCAACGCUGACGGCGUGCCUCAGACAUGAAAGUCGAAAGAUUAAAGCUCCCUUCGGGGAGUGCAUAGAGUGGCGCACGGGUGAGUAACACGUAAGUAAUCUACCUUCGAGUGGGGAAUAACGUCCGGAAACGGACGCUAAUACCGCAUAAUGCAGCGGCAUCGCAAGAUGACAGUUGUUAAAGAUUUAUCGCUUGAAGAGGAUCUUGCGGCAGAUUAGCUAGUUGGUAAGGUAAUGGCUUACCAAGGCUACGAUCUGUAAACGGUCUAAGAGAACGGUCGGUCACACUGAAACUGGACAUCGGGUCAGACGCCUAAGAGAGGCGGCAGUCGUGAAUUUUGGGCAAUGGGCGAAAGCCUGACCCAGCAACGACGCGUGAAGGAUGAAGUAUUUCGGUAUGUAAACUUCGAAAGAAUGGGAAGAAUCAAUGACGGUACCAUUUAUAAGGUCCGGCUAACUACGUGCCAGCAGCCGCAGUAAUAC
rnacentral:rRNA from 1 species